CUAAUCUUAGUUUAAGUAGAAUAAGGGUUUUGGGGAUUCUUGGUCUCAUUUGUAUGAGAGGUUUGA
rnacentral:tRNA from 1 species